UGGGGAAUCUUCCGCAAUGGACGAAAGUCUGACGGAGCAACGCCGCGUGAGUGAAGAAGGUUUUCGGAUCGUAAAACUCUGUCUUUUGGGGCGAACGUGAGUAUGGUGAACAAUCAUAGUCAGUGACGGUACCAAAGGAGGAAGCCACGGCUAACUACGUGCCAGCAGCCGCGGUAAUACGUAGGUGGCAAGCGUUGUCCGGAAUUAUUGGGCGUAAAGAGCGCGUAGGCGGGAUAGUCAGUCUGUUGUAAAGUCGCGGGGCUCAACCCCGUGAUCGCAAUGGAACAGCUAUUCUUGGAGUGCAGGAGAGGAAAGUGGAAUUCCCAGUGUAGCGGUGAAAUGCGUAGAUAUUGGGAGGAACACCAGUGGCGAAGGCGACUUUCUGGACUGUGUCUGACGCUGAGGCGC
rnacentral:rRNA from 1 species